AGUAACGUUUCAUACUUUACAUAAUUGGACAAUGGGGGAGAGAGAGAGAGAAAAAAAAUAAUCUAAUCUCUGCGACUCGACGACGUCCGCCGUUCUUAUGAAUAUUUAUCAUUUUUUGAAAGUAUAUACUACUAUUAACUUAAGUGAAAGCUUCAUAAUUCUCUGUAAACAACUCCAAUGGGUGACCACGAAGACCUCGAUUAUAAUCCACUGUACAAAGCUCUUCAGACAAAGUACUGGGAGAAAUUCUCCAAAGCACAGGAGAAUUGCUACCUGAUAUGCAUCCCACAGGCAGCCUCUCUUGCAGGCGUGAUCAUCAAUCAAGCAUUUGUAGAUACCCAUGUACUGAAGCCAUCCCCAAUGUUGAAAGAUCAUUAUAUAAGCACAGACAAAACUGAGAGUAAAACAAUUAUUGUAGAUGAGGACUUUGUCCUAGUGACAGAAGGGUUUAAGAACAAAGGUCGGAUUAAGGUCUUGUCUGAAGAAUUGGGCUAUAACAAGGAUUAUAAGCCUUUCAAGAUAUUGAUUGUACAGAAACCACUCGAGGGGGCAGUUAAAGGAAGGAGAGGUUCAGCUGGGCUUUCAGAUGACUUUCUGAUACCUAGGAACUCAUAUGAUGAGAACUGUCGUCUGCUCUCCAUGUUUCCUGAGCAUCAGCAACAGUUGAAGCAGUUGGAUGAAUCGAUCAAACAGUUCAACUCAAAUUACCUUAUCGUCAAGGGCUACCUUAACCAUGCGGCUGAGAAGCUUCAAGAACUUACGCAGCAACAUACAGAGACAAUCUUAGCAAACAACAAAUACGUUAGGCUUCAAUCUGAUACAAGAUUAGGAGAUGUGUUGUCUAUAGCAGUAGAAAGCUAUGUGACGGGAGGGGUUCAUAGCAAGUUAUUUGCUGCCGUCUGUCUAGAAUGUCAAGAAAAAGACAAGAUAUUAGCCUCUAAAAUCCAGCAACUUCAACAUGUGUCUGCAGAGGAUCUUGGUAUAUCAGAACACUUCUGCUGCAGUUUACCAGCUGGGGUCGUUGAACUAGCUCGUCUUGAUGGGAUCAACAGUCCACGGGAGAAAUUAGUCUGUCUAAAAACUACCCUGGAUGUUAUCAAUGAAGAGGUAACGGCACAUCUGAAUGAGAACUUGGCGCCAGGUGAGACACCACUGUGCCUCACAUCAGAUGAACUAAUUCCGCUCGUGGUGACUUUGGUUGCCAAGGGCAAGUGCAACCGUCUGGCCAGCAAUCUCUACUAUAUCGAACACUUCAAUUGGAUCAAGUCUAAGACAGAUGAUUUAGGGUUUAGUCUUGUAACUUUCAAUGCAGUGAAGGAGUACAUACUGACAACUGACUUCAGCAAAACAGCAUCACCAAAACCAAAGCUAAAGAAGGAGAUGAGUAUCAAGGAGUUAAUGAUUGCCCAGAAGACAUUGAAUGAGGUAGGUCCCUCCACAAGCCUUGGACCAUCAAUGCCAGCUAGAACCCUGGAGAAACAGUUGGAGAACAUCUCUAAGAUGAUGGAGAACACGAAAGUGACACCAAACUCCAGAGUUGCCAUGAGGUCGUUGUUUGAAGGCUCGGAUGUACCUGAUCCAGCCUUCAAAAGCAGUGGGCCUCCGCCUGAUAUCAUUCCCAUAUCAGACCAAAAGAAUCAAGGUAGUCAGGCCAAUAAUUUGGGUGAUUUCCUGUCAACACUUCAGAACGACGUCUUUGGGACGUCUUUUGGCAAACUAAACUAGGCAGCCAUCGCAGCGUUCCACUAGUGUGCAGGAUAUAUCAAAAUUCCACUAAAAAGCAUUCAUUUAUGAAAUAGAAUAUCAACACAAACUGAAGGUACACACAAAUAUGAUGUGUGUAAUCAGGAAAGCAGUUCAGUAGCUGUAUUAGUCAGUGUAUACAAAAUGAGUGGGUAGCACUUUUUUGACUAACGAUAGAUUUUAUUUCACAAGCUUUCACCGCAGAUGGGGCUUCAUCGGGUGUGUGUAAUAUUUCCUACAACAUCCUUGCUGUUCAUUAUAAAUAUUUAUGCAAUAUCUUAAUUAUUUACAUUAUUUAACAUCAUUACCAAAAUAUUUCUCAAUAUAUGUUCAUUGUUUCCCCCCCCCCAAUUUAUUAUAGCCAGCGUUCGAUUUGCCCAGUAUGACAUCGCUAAAUGAGAUGCGUUUUAAACGCGAAACACUUCCACAAAUGCAUCACAAGAAAAUGUGACGCAAUUAUUUGCCUAGAAUUAGCUGCUCAGUCUUCAGUUAGGCCUGGCUGUAAAAACUAAGAGGCUUGGUGCACAAAAAAGUUCCGAAAAUUGUUUCGAAAAUCAAGUUAUCCAAUGUUUUGGGCCAAAAAUAGCACAGUAUACAUAUGUUUACAUCAAGUGCACACAUACUAUGCUAUAUGUACAUUGUUGUACAUGCAGCUGGUUUGAGUACGAGUCAGGCUUCUUUCCUGUGUUUGCAAUAUUACCACAUUUUGCCACUCCCUCGGUUCUGCUUCUCCUGUAGAUCGCUUUCACUUACACACGUUUGCACAAUGAGGAGUAAUGUUGUUUAAUGUCAUGUAUGUACCGUGCUAGAGCGGCACGUCGUGCACAUAUAGAUGUGUAGUAUGCAAAUUAUCUUACUUUUUAUCUUGGCGCUGUUACUCCUGCUGUUUACAUCCAGUCAGACUCAAUGGCUGUCACUGUCAUAUUAGACAGUAAGGAUGAGCCAGUGUUUUAGCAUUGAAAAAUAAAGGCACAUCACAUGAUUUUUUCAUUGAAAAGUGUCAUUUCUAUUCUUUAAUAAUCAUUCAUUAUCACCGCAGAAAAAAAUGCUAUGCACAAUUUUGGAAUUGCUACACACACAAAAAAUGCUGGAAAUCGAAAGCUGAUUAUAGCGACUAUUAUAUUAUACCUUGCAUUUAUUAGUUGUAUAUAUUACAAAAGUGCUCUUUUUAUUAUUAAUCUUAAAUUUUAUCAACUGUUAUAUAUUUAUUAAAUUAUUGAGAGUUAUAUGAUACAUUCAAAUAUUUAAAAUAAAUUGAAUAUUUAAAUAUUUCAGAGUAUAUUAACUAUAAAUUAAAGCAAAAUUUUAAUGAAAACUUUCCGAACAGUCAAAAAAUGCCAUCAUCCAAAAACUUUCAAGAAAUUUUUUCGUGGAACCGUACCACAAUGUGUAAUAUAUCUAAGUGUCCAAUUUAAAUUUGUAGCUACACAUAAGAUAAUUAUUUUUAUAUCCAAGCAGCAUGAAGGGCUCAGGAUGUUCUUUUUUUUCAUGCCUUUUUCUUCCAUACUUUCAUUGGCUGUGUAUGUAUAUUUGGAAUGCGUAAACUGCCAAUUUAAAAUUUAAAAUUAAUUUAUUAUAGAUGUGUGGAUUUGGCUUUAAAUAAACUCUGUUCACAGAAGCCAAGGAUAGGGAUCAGACAGCAAUAACAAUUAAAAUUUAAUCAAUACCUUUUUCUUUCAUUAUAAAUACUGUAUAUGUACAUACAUAUGUUAUGGUUCUAUUAAAAUCAGACAGAAUGGAA
rnacentral:misc_RNA from 1 species